GAUGAACGCUGGCGGCGUGCCUAAUACAUACAAGUCGAGCGAACGGACGAGAAGCUUGCUUCUCUGAUGUUAGCGGCGGACGGGUGAGUAACACGUGGAUAACCUACCUAUAAGACUGGGAUAACUUCGGGAAACCGGAGCUAAUACCGGAUAAUAUUUUGAACCGCAUGGUUCAAAAGUGAAAGACGGUCUUGCUGUCACUUAUAGAUGGAUCCGCGCUGCAUUAGCUAGUUGGUAAGGUAACGGCUUACCAAGGCAACGAUGCAUAGCCGACCUGAGAGGGUGAUCGGCCACACUGGAACUGAGACACGGUCCAGACUCCUACGGGAGGCAGCAGUAGGGAAUCUUCCGCAAUGGGCGAAAGCCUGACGGAGCAACGCCGCGUGAGUGAUGAAGGUCUUCGGAUCGUAAUACUCUGUUAUUAGGGAAGAACAUAUGUGUAAGUAACUGUGCACAUCUUGACGGUACCUAAUCAGAAAGCCACGGCUAACUACGUG
rnacentral:rRNA from 1 species